CCGGCCCAGAGGGCAAGAGAGCAGGAGAGCUGACCCUGCCCCUUGCAGGAUCUGCUGGAGCAUGGGAAAGGGCUGGUCCUGCAGAGCCUAAGCUGCUGGAUCUCCAUGACACAGGGCAACAACAGGAAACCUGAGAAGAGUUCCAGUGAGGAUCUAGUAUUGAUGGUGUAGCAGAAGCCAGAAGCCUUGAACCAACCAAGGACUCACAACAAUAAACAUUUGCAAGUGAAGAUGUGUGGACAAAAGGCUAUACAUAUAUUGUGUGACACAUUACAGUUUCCAU
rnacentral:lncRNA from 1 species